rnacentral:tRNA from 1 species
GCUUUCGUGGUGUAGUGGUCAGCAUACUCGAUGCGUAUUCGAGAGGUCCGUAGUUCGAAUCCCGGCGACAGCG